rnacentral:rRNA from 1 species
AGUGAACGCUGGCGGUAGGCCUAACACAUGCAAGUCGAACGGCAGCACAGUAAGAGCUUGCUCUUACGGGUGGCGAGUGGCGGACGGGUGAGGAAUACAUCGGAAUCUACUUUUUCGUGGGGGAUAACGUAGGGAAACUUACGCUAAUACCGCAUACGACCUACGGGUGAAAGCAGGGGAUCUUCGGACCUUGCGCGAUUGAAUGAGCCGAUGUCGGAUUAGCUAGUUGGCGGGGUAAAGGCCCACCAAGGCGACGAUCCGUAGCUGGUCUGAGAGGAUGAUUCGCCACACUGGAAGUGAGACACGGUACAGACUCCUACGGGAGGACGCAGUGGGGAAUAUUGGACAAUGGGCGAAAGCCUGAUCCAGCCAUACCGCGUGGGUGAAGAAGGCCUUCGGGUUGUAAAGCCCUUUUGUUGGGAAAGAAAAGCAGCAGGUUAAUACCCCGCUGUUCUGACGGUACCCAAAGAAUAAGCACCGGCUAACUUCGUG